rnacentral:sRNA from 2 species
GAUGAUAUAGAAAAUAAUGAUACGGCGAUACCCCGAAUGUUAAACAAUGGGUUGUCUGCUGCUCAAUCCCUUGAACAAGAAGAGCAUUGUCCUUCAUCAACUCGAUGUUGAGCACUAGACGGCAGGUUGUUUUGUUAGUGUCUAAGAAUCAAUCGUUGCCGUUGGGAUGUGUAUUGUUCAACCCACACUCAGUCACCAUAUCGGCGUGAAAUGGGCUUGUUCUUCAGUUGAUAAGAAGUCUACUGGCCGAGAUUCAUGAAGAUGAGGGAGCGGGUGUGGGUGGUAAUACUUGAUGCGCUGCAAAUAAUCAUUUUGAGAAGCUUGUAGGUCUGUCGAGGGGCCUGAGGACCAGCAGCGUGCUGGUCCUCUCCGGGACUACAAGGCGACUGAAUGCAAGAUAAGACCCCACGAGAGCCAUCUCAAACGGCUUCGCGAUCAUGACUACCGUCUUGCAUCCUACAUCUGGCUACCUGCGAAGCCGACUGCAGAAGUUCUUCAAACAAGCCUGGACCGUGAUGGGGCUCUGCGUUGUCCAAGCGACUGGUCACGUGAUACAUGACAUGGCGUUUGUUGAUACGACGCCCCAAGAAGGAAAUUGUGAGAUUGGAUUGGAGACAGGGCGAGGAGGA